GGCAGGUAGGUAGCAGUGGGGUGCACAGAAUUUGAAGCCAGGGUAUGCAUUUACUCAUGGACUUAUUUUCUAGAAGGUCAUAAUGAAAAAAUAAGCAUUGAUUUAUUACAACUAGGGUAAGCAGUGCUGUUAUGCCUCUAUGAGCUGCACGCCAUUCCCCAGAUGUCUAUCUA